rnacentral:rRNA from 1 species
AACGAACGCUGGCGGCAGGCCUAACACAUGCAAGUCGAACGCCCUAGCAAUAGGGAGUGGCAGACGGGUGAGUAACACGUGGGAACCUUCCCUAUAGUACGGAAUAGCCCAGGGAAACUUGGAGUAAUACCGUAUACGCCCGAGAGGGGAAAGAUUUAUCGCUAUAGGAUGGGCCCGCGUCGGAUUAGCUAGUUGGUGAGGUAAUGGCUCACCAAGGCAACGAUCCGUAGCUGGUUUGAGAGAAUGACCAGCCACACUGGGACUGAGACACGGCCCAGACUCCUACGGGAGGCAGCAGUGGGGAAUCUUGGACAAUGGGCGCAAGCCUGAUCCAGCCAUGCCGCGUGAGUGAUGAAGGCCUUAGGGUUGUAAAGCUCUUUUGUCGGGGACGAUAAUGACGGUACCCGAAGAAUAAGCUCCGGCUAACUUCGUGCCAGCAGCCGCCGUAA